AGAGAUCUCACAUCCCUAUCUGGACUCAUCAUUUUUCUUCUCCUAAGCUCAUAUCAUACAUACGUUCCCCAUACUCUCAGAAGUAUGAGGACUGUGCAGGUUGCCAGGAUACAGGAGAUACUUAACUGGAAAUAGCUUCUCUAAACUUAAAGGCAACACAAGCCACGGGCCAUACCAAUCACAUUAGAUUGCCUAUUCCUAAUGGGAAAACCUCCCUCUUUCUAGCUUUCCAAAUUAAUUAACGUCUGAAUGGCCUUAAUGAUGUCAGUAGCCGAAGAAUGAAGGCAGCUUGUUUACUAUGUGACACGAUCUCAAAUCCAGCGUGAGGUAAGGCUCUGCAUCACAAAGAAAAUGUCACCUCCCUCGAUUGUAAGAGAUGUCUGUGACUGAACAGGUUUCACUAUUAACUAGGCUCUCACAGAUAGGAAUAGGCUCCAAAAUCCAGAAGAGGACGUACCAAAGAGUCACUACAGCUCUGCAUAUUGUGUUUUAAUGCUUCACAGUAGAAUUAACUGACAGAUCACUGAAUGGAGAUGGAAGUCUUACCAUUCCUGAAAGCCAAAUAUAUGCCUGCUUAGAGAUAGAAAAUGAAGUGAACGUUACUGCUCUGCAGAGAGUUCUCAGCCAGAAAACAAGCCUGAGACUGCCUUGUGCUUUAACAUUGAACUCUGGAGGACUGGCCUGGCACAGUACUUCUCUCUGGGAGGCUCUGCUUUGCUACAGGGGUGAGAAGUCCUGGGAUUCACCUUAG
rnacentral:lncRNA from 1 species